CAUUCUCCGGGGCUGUCCACAUAGACCACCGACUUCAAGCUUGGAGGGACAUUUGGCAGAGGCUGGCCAGAAAAGGCAGCACACCCCUCCCUGGCAAACACAGGAGAGACUCAUGUGCCUGCUUCUCCAUCCUGGACUCACCACACAGCUCGGGACUUUGGAGCAAUGAUGGAGCUGUUGGCAGGGCUCGUCUCCGCUGACUGACACCGAGCGAGCCUGAGACUGGACGUGACACUGGCCACUACUAUUUCUGGUCAGUUUGCCAAGAUCCGGAUGGAAAUCCAGCCGCUACUCUUAUCCUGUUCUUCUAAAUGGCCAGUAAUGAUGUGGCAUCCACAGCUUUGCAGUUCUUCCUUGAAGCUGCAAAGAAACAACUUUAUAUCCAGGACAGAGGCCCUGAGGUGUGAUGCUUUGAAUGUCCUCCACAGCCCUGAGGAGUGCUAGAUCCAACACACUGCCCUGACAACCCCAGGGGGGACCAGGUUCCAGAUGUGCUGAGUACACCCCCUGUCAUCUUAAAUGUUCAACAAACCAGACAGUUUAAGAUCUGACUUUAAUUACAUUUUUAUUUGUACAACAGUUGUCAUCCCAAGGCAGCUGAUGGGGGGGGGUUCCCCUCUAUCCUUGAGUGCUGAUGACCUGGGUCAGGUAUAUUCAGUCAUCAGAAGCUGAUUCCAAUUCAUUCCACCUUCUGAUGACUGAACACACCUGAUCCAGGUCAUCAGCAGUGAGUAGGGCAGGGAUGGUUGGAAAACAAGCAGGGCAGCAGCACUCAAGGACAGCGACUGGUAAGACACCUCCAGCGGUGGGUGGCCAUCUGCCUCAGGUGGUUGAGGGGAGCGGAGAGAGGAAAGACCAACCAACUCUGCAGCCAGGGAUACCUGCUGAAAGGUACAGGGAGACAAACUACAUGAGGACCAGUCUACAGGACCAGCUAUUGCUUUUUAAAUAUUUUAUAUAAUAUAUAACAGCUUUAUU